GAAUGUGAGAGCCAGCUGGCUGUGACAUCUGUCACCCCUGUUACCGUGACCGCAGGACUGAUGUGGUUGAUCCUGCUGGCUAGGCUAGGGUCCCCUUCCUCCCUCAUCACUCCAUGUGUGUCCCUCCUAAAGCUGCGCAACACUACCUGGAAAAGUUUGGCAAGUCCUCAAAUUUAAAAAAAAAAAAUGCGCGCGCAUGCCAACACACACACACACACACACACACACACACACAAACUUGU
ensembl:misc_RNA 7SK 7SK RNA